AUCCAUCUGGCGACUCCCGAAUAGGACGAAACAUGUGUCCUGGAU
rnacentral:hammerhead_ribozyme from 1 species